rnacentral:rRNA from 1 species
ACGGUAGCACAKAGGAGCUUGYUCYUUGGUGCCGAGUGGCGGACGGGUGAGUAAUGUCUGGGAAACUGCCUGAUGGAGGGGGAUAACUACUGGAAACGGUAGCUAAUACCGCAUAACGUCGCAAGACCAAAGAGGGGGACCUUCGGGCCUCUUGCCRUCAGAUGUGCCCAGAUGGAUUAGCUAGUAGGUGGGGUAUGGCUACCUAGGCGCGAUCCCUAGCUGGUCUGAGAGGAUGCCAGCCACACUGGAACUGAGACACGGUCCAGACUCCUACGGGAGGCAGWGUGGGGAAUAUUGCA